CUACGGGGCGCUCCAGCGGGGAAUAUUGCACAAUGGGGGAAACCCUGAUGCAGCAACGCCGCGUGGAGGAUGACACAUUUCGGUGCGUAAACUCCUUUUAUAUAAGAAGAUAAUGACGGUAUUAUAUGAAUAAGCACCGGCUAACUCCGUGCCAGCAGCCGCGGUAAUACGGAGGGUGCAAGCGUUAUUCGGAAUCACUGGGCGUAAAGGGUGCGUAGGCGGUUUGGAAAGUCAGGUGUGAAAGCCCGGGGCUCAACUCCGGAACUGCACUUGAAACUUCCAGACUAGAAUACUGAAGGGGCAGAUGGAAUUAGUGGUGUAGGGGUAAAAUCCGUAGAUAUCACUAGGAAUACCGAAAGCGAAAGCGAUCUGCUGGGAAGUUAUUGACGCUGAGGCACGAAAGCGUGGGGAGCAAACAGGAUUAGAUACCCCUGUAGUC
rnacentral:rRNA from 1 species